CUGUCGUCCCUCUCGCUGGCUUUUUUAAAAUGAGGAACCGUUCCUUGAACGUUCUGGAUAGAGCACAGAAUUGCUUCUUAAGUCAGCCCGGCGCGGUUGCAAUAGACAGCAAAAAGGUAAACGUUUGCCUGAAAUCCGCACGCCAGCUCCACCACCCCGCCCGAUGAUUUUUCUCUCCUUUACUUGGAAGGCAAAGAAGAGAGUGGGUUUGCUGUCCUAAUCCCUGCGACCUGAUAGUCAUCUAAUGCUCUGGUACCCCUGAAGCAAUUACCUACUGCCAGAUGUGGGAGGAGCCAUUCUGUAGGAGCAGGGGCCACUGUGAUUUCCGGCAUCCUGUCUGAUGUGAUUUUUUGAGAAGUCUUUUUUGGCCUCUGAGACAUCUCCAAAUCGUAACUUCUAAGUGAUC